CUGAGAUCGCGGUAGAUGCGCGCGCCGACGCCUGGCUUGGGAUGAUAAAGUGACGUUGGCUGCCGCAGAAGGAGUUCACCACCUACGACUUCUCCAGCAUGUCUGCUGAAAAUAAUCAGUUAUCAGGAGCAUCACCUCCUCACCCUCCCACAACUCCCCAAUGUUCCACACAGACCUUGCCUUCAAAGAAAGAGGAUACUGAAGUAGAACUAGAUGAGGAAAGUCUACAGGAUGAAUCUCCAUUUUCUCCAGAGGGAGAGUCUCUGGAGGACGAAGAGUAUCUGGAGGAGGAAGAGGAUCUGGAAGAGGAAGAGUAUCUGAGGAAAGAAGAAUACUUGAAGGAGGAAGAGUAUCUGGGGAAGGAAGAGCAUCUGGAGGAGGAAGAGUAUCUGGAGAAGGCAGGGUAUCUGGAGGAGGAAGAGUAUAUUGAAGAGGAAGAGUAUCUGGGGAAGGAAGGGUAUCUGGAGAAGGAAGAGUAUCUGGAGAAGGAAGAGUAUCUGGAGAAGGAAGAGUACCUGGGGAAGGAAGAGCAUCUGGAGGAGGAAGAGUAUCUGGGGAAGGAAGGGUAUCUGGAGAAGGAAGAGUAUAUUGAAGAGGAAGAUUAUCUGGGGAAGAAAAGGUAUCUGGAGGAGGAGGAGUAUCUGGGGAAGGAGUCAUAUCUAGAAGAGGAAAAGGCUCUGGAGAAGGAAGAGAAUCUGGAGGAGGAAGGAGCUCUGGAGGAGGAAGAGAAUCUGGAUGGAAAAGAAAAUCUGUAUAAAAAGUAUCUGAAAGAACCCAAGGCAAGUUAUUCAUCACAAACCAUGCUUCUUCGUGAUGCAAGGAGUCCAGAUGCUGGCCCCUCUCAGGUGACCACCUCCUUGACUGUCCCGUUGACUUUCACUGCCCCUUCUCCCGUCUCUGAAUCUGCCACAGAGUCUUCUGAGUUGCUUCUGACAUUGUACAGGAGGAGCCAGGCCAGUCAAACGGACUGGUGCUACGACGGAACUGCCGUAAAAUCUUUAAAAUCGAAAUCAAAACCAGAGCAAGAAACCACCACGAAGCCUGCUCCGGAAGAGCGUGUGCAAAAAAAGGAAGAAAAUGUCGUGGAGUUUGCUUCUAAAGAGAACUUUUGGGAUGGUAUAACAGAUGAGUCCAUUGACAAGCUGGAAGUGGAAGACUUAGAUGAAAACUUUUUGAACAGCUCCUAUCAGACAGUAUUUAAAACAGUAAUCAAAGAAAUGGCUGCUCGCAAUGAACUGGAAGAGGAUUUUGACAUUCCCCUAACUAAGCUACUGGAAAGUGAAAACAGAUGGAAACUGGUAAUUAUGUUGAAGAAAAAUUAUGAAAAGUUCAAGGAAACAAUCUUAUGGAUUAAGAGGAGACGUGAAGGUAGGCACCACUCCACCAAUUUCCACCACGUGCUGGCUCUCCUGUCCGCAUCCCACCGCCUCUC
rnacentral:sRNA from 1 species